GAUUGUGCUAGGAACGCAGACAGGAGGGCAGGAAGGCAGGCCAUGAAACUAGCCAAACCACGAGAACAGAGGGAGAUGUGGGGCAGGGGCAGGGAUCAGCCACUCCAGUCAGAAGUCACUUCUCCUCCCAUUUGCGGCACAGAAAACAGGACAUAGGUUAGUGCACUGUUUUGACAUGACACUGGCAGCUGCAGUCCAGGGGCCUAGGCAGGACGGUGUGCAGUCCACAAAGGGGCUUUCACCUGCUUGGUGUGUAGGACUGUCCUGUCACAGUAACAGAACCCCCGAGAGCAAGAGAAACCAGAGAACAUGCUUUAUAACACAUUCUCCACAAACUAUGAGAAUUGGUGGUGCCAGGCGCCUCUAAAGCCUUACAAGUGUCAAAAUGACAGGUAUGAGCUGCCACCCCUGGCUGCAGAUGACUUCUUUUUUGAUGCCUGAUUAAAGUGCUGUCUGUGAUUGCAAAACCACAAUCUCCACACAGUGUGAGGUGAACUUCUUUUUUGCCCAUCUGAUAAAACUGGAAGAGAGAAGACUUUCUUGCCCCUUACUGGAGGGGCACUGCAGAAACACCACCACAGCGCCACAGUGGGAGCCUCGUGGACCAACGCUCAGAACAAAAAGGAGGCCUGGCCUUAGACCAGCACUGUGCCAUGGCUCUCUGCGUGAAUUCCCAUUAAAUGGGAGAAGGUUCUUACCAUUUUCUGAUGUUCCCAGUUUAGCAUAGGCCAAUCGACAAUAUACCUCAUCAACAGAAUAAAGAACAAAAAUUAUCUAUCUCCUUAAAAGACUGUAAAAAAGCAGCUAAUAAAACUCAGCACCCUUUUUAUGAUAAAAGUAGGUA